rnacentral:lncRNA from 1 species
CUAAGUAGCAGUCAAAAAUUUGUAUCCAUUUUUUAUGAUAUUAUGCAUGGAUCAGCAUGGCUAAUUUUUUAAUAAAAAGUCCACAUGAAGACUAGCAUAGAUCAGGGUCCUUGGAGGUGCUAGCCUGUAAGAAAAUUCGAGGCUGGUUUCUUCCUUCUUCUUUAAAGGCCAUGGACGCUUCAAAGGAUGAAGAGAUCUGGAUCAUGGAUGCUUCAAAGGAUGAAGAGAUCUAGAGGACAAAGAGAGAAAGAAGAGGAGAAUCUCUAGAAAAACAAAAACCAGCAAGGGAACAGAGAUGUGACACC